CCUACGGGUGGCAGCAGUGAGGAAUAUUGGUCAAUGGACGAGAGUCUGAACCAGCCAAGUAGCGUGAAGGAUGACUGCCCUAUGGGUUGUAAACUUCUUUUAUAUGGGAAUAAAAUGUUCCACGUGUGGGAUUUUGUAUGUACCAUAUGAAUAAGGAUCGGCUAACUCCGUGCCAGCAGCCGCGGUAAUACGGAGGAUCCGAGCGUUAUCCGGAUUUAUUGGGUUUAAAGGGAGCGUAGGUGGAUUGUUAAGUCAGUUGUGAAAGUUUGCGACUCAACCGUAAAAUUGCAGUUGAAACUGGCAGUCUUGAGUACAGUAGAGGUGGGCGGAAUUCGUGGUGUAGCGGUGAAAUGCUUAGAUAUCACGAAGAACUCCGAUUGCGAAGGCAGUUCACUGGACUGCAACUGACACUGAGGCUCGAAAGUGUGGGUAUCAAACAGGAUUAGAUACCCGUGUAGUC
rnacentral:rRNA from 1 species